rnacentral:rRNA from 1 species
AAUGAACGCUGGCGGCGUGCCUAACACAUGCAAGUCGAGCGAGAAAGCGACUUCGGUCGUGAGUAAAGCGGCGAACGGGUGCGUAACACGUGGAUAACCUGCCUAGAUGUGGGGAACAACUUGGGGAAACUUGAGCUAAUACCGCAUAAUCUCGCAUUGAGAGAUCAAUGUGAGGAAAGAUGGCCAAUUCUUGAAAGCUGUCGCAUUUAGAGGGGUCCGCGGCUGAUUAGCUUGUUGGUGAGGCAACGGCUCACCAAGGCAACGAUCAGUAGCCGCCCUGAGAGGGUGAUCGGCCACACUGGAACUGAGACACGGUCCAG